GGCUCUUUCGGGAGCUAGUGGCGGACGGGUGAGUAACGCGUGAGAAUCUGCCUUCAGGUCGGGGACAACAGAGGGAAACCUCUGCUAAUACCGGAUGUGCCUAACGGUGAAAGAUUUAUCGCCUGAAGAGGAGCUCGCGUCUGAUUAGCUAGUUGGAGAGGUAAAAGCUCACCAAGGCAACGAUCAGUAGCUGGUCUGAGAGGAUGAGCAGCCACACUGGGACUGAGACACGGCCCAGACUCCUACGGGAGGCAGCAGUGGGGAAUUUUCCGCAAUGGGCGAAAGCCUGACGGAGCAAUACCGCGUGAGGGAGGAAGGCUCUUGGGUUGUAAACCUCUUUUCUCAGGGAAGAAGAACUGACGGUACCUGAGGAAUAAGCAUCGGCUAACUCCGUGCCAGCAGCCGCGGUAAUACGGAGGAUGCAAGCGUUAUCCGGAAUUAUUGGGCGUAAAGCGUCCGCAGGUGGCUUAACAAGUCUGCUGUCAAAGACCGAAGCUUAACUUCGGGCAGGCGGUGGAAACUGUGAGGCUAGAGGCCGGUAGGGGUAGAGGGAAUUCCCAGUGUAGCGGUGAAAUGCGUAGAGAUUGGGAAGAACACCAGUGGCGAAGGCGCUCUACUGGGCCGGCACUGACACUCAGGGACGAAAGCUAGGGGAGCGAAAGGGAUUAGAUACCCUGGUAGUCCCCU
rnacentral:rRNA from 1 species